UACAGAGGGUGCAAGCGUUGUUCGGAAUUAUUGGGCGUAAAGGGCGCGUAGGCGGUGCGGUAAGUCCGCAGUGAAAUCUCUGGGCUCAACUCAGAGUCUGCUGUGGAAACUGCCGUGCUUGAGUGUGGGAGAGGUGAGUGGAAUUCCCGGUGUAGAGGUGAAAUUCGUAGAUAUUAGGAAGAACACCAGUGGCGAAGGCGGCUCACUGGCCCGGUACUGACGCUGAGACGCGAAAGCGUGGGGAGCAAACAGG
rnacentral:rRNA from 1 species